ensembl:lncRNA
CUUUAUAUCUAGAUCAUGAACACAUUUCAAUCUUACCUUGAUAUAUACAGUGUUAUAUGUGGGCAAUGCCUAGUUUAUGCUAGUUUCCAAUUUUCCCAGCAAUUUUUCUCAAAUAGUGAGUUCUUAUUCCAAAAGUUGGGGUCUUUAGGUUUGUCAAAUACUAGAUUGUUAUAGUUAUAGACUAUUUUAUUCUGUGAACCUAACCUAUUCCACUGGUCAAAUACUCUAUUUCUUAGCCAAAUACUUUUGAAGAUUGUAACUUUGUAAUAUAGUUUUAGAUUUGGGACAAUUAGGCAACCUUUAUUUCCUUUUUUUUUUCAUUAAUUCCCUUGAAAUUCUUGACAUUUUGUUCUUCCAGAUGAAUUUUUUUAGUAUUUUUUCUAGGUCAGUAAAAUAGUUUUGUGGGUGUAUGAUUGGUAUAGCACUAAAUAAAUAGAUUAGUUUAGGCAGUAUUGUCAUCUUUAUUAUAUUCACUCAAUCUAUCCAAGAGCACUUGAUACUUUUCUAAUUUUUAGAUCUGACUUCAUUUGUGUGGAAAGUGUUUUGUAGUUUUGUUCAUAUACUUCCUGAGUUUCCCUUGGCAGAUAGAUUCCCAAAUAUUUUAUCCUAUAUUGACAGUUAUUUUAAAUGGAAUUUCUUUUUUUAAUCUCUUGAUAUUGGAUUUUGUUAAUGAUGUAUAAAAAUGCUUUAUGAUCUAUGUGGAUUUUUUUGCAUCCUGUAACUUUCCUAAAGUUGUGGAUUACUUCUAAUAGCUUUUUAGUUGAUUCUCUAGGAUUCUCUAGGUAUAUAUUAUCUGCAAAAAGUGAUAAUUUGGUUUCCUCAUUACCUACUCUAAUCCCUUUAAUUUCUUUUUCUUCUUUUAUUGCCAAAGCUAGCAUUUCUAAUACAAUAUUGAAUAGUAAUGGUGAUAGUGGGCAAUCUUGUUUCACCCCUGAGCUUAUUGGGAAUGGUUCCAGUUUAUCCUCAUUACAUAUGAUGCUUGCUGAUGUUUUUAAAUAGAUGCUACUGACUAUUUUAAGAAAAAGUCCAUUUAUUCCUAUACUCGCUAGUGUUUCUAAAUAGGAAUUGCUGUUGGAGUUUAUCAAAUGCUUUUUCUGCAUCUAUUGAGAUGAUCAUAUGGUUUUUGUUAAUUUGGUUAUUGAUAUAGUCAAUUAUGCUAAUAGUUUUUUUUAAUAUUGAACCAGCCAUGUAUUCCUGGUAUAAAUCCUACUUGGUCAUGGUGUAUUAUCCUGGGAAUGAUUUUCUGUAAUAUCUUUCCAAAUAUUUUAUUUAAGAUUUUUGCAUUAAUAUUCAUUACAGAGAUUGGUCUAUAAUUUUCUUUCUCUGUUUUCAUCCUACCUGGUUUAGGUAUCAGUAUCAUGUCUGUGUCAUAAAAGGAAUUUUUCAAAUAGUUUAUGUAGCAUUGGAGUUAAUUGUUCUUUAAAUGUUUGGUAGAAUUCACAUGUAAAUCCUUUUCGUCCUGGGGAUUUUUUCUUAAAGACCUGAUUAAAACAGAGAAAUGUAAAUUAAGACAAUUUUGAGAUACCACUACACACCUGUCAGAUUGGCUAGAAUGACAGGGAAAAAUAAUGUGGAAUGUUGGAGGGGAUGUGAGAAAACUGGGACACUGAUACAUUGUUGGUGGAGUUGUGAAUACAUCCAGCCAUUCUGGAGAGCAAUUUGUAACUAUGCUCAAAAAGCUAUCAAACUGUGCAAACUCUUUGACCCAGCAGUGUUACUACUAGGCUUAUAUCCCAAAGAGAUUUUAAAGAAGGGAAAGGGGCCUCUAUGGGCAAGAAUGUUUGUGGCAGCCAUCUUUGUGCUGGCCAGAAACUGGAAACUGAAUGGAUGCCCAUCAAUUGGAGAAUAGCUGAAUAAAUUGUGGUAUAUAAAUAUUAUGGAAUAUUAUUGCUCUGUAAGAAAUGACCAGCAGGAUGAUUUCAGAAAGGCCUGGAGAGAUUUACAUGAACUGAUGCUGAGUGAAAUAAGCAGGACCAGAAGACCAUUAUAUACUUCAACAACAAUACUAUAUGAUGAUCAGUUCUGAUGGACAUGGCCCUCUUCAACAAUGAGAUGAACCAAAUCAGUUGCAAUGGAGCAGUAAUGAACUGAACCAUCUACACCCAGGGAAAGAACUCUGGGAGAUGGCUAUGAACCACUACAUAGAAUUCCCAAUCCUUCUAUUUUUGUCUGCCUACAUUUUUGAUUUCCUUCACAGGCUAAUUGUCCACUAUUUCAAAAUCCGACUCUUUUUAUAUAGC